CCUACGGGUGGCAGCAGUGAGGAAUAUUGGACAAUGGACGAGAGCCUGAACCAGCCAAGUAGCGUGAAGGAUGACUGUCCUAUGGUUUGUAAACUUCUUUUAUAUGGGAAUAAAAUGUUCCACGUGUGGGAUUUCGUAUGUACCAUAUGAAUAAGGAUCGGCUAACUCCGCGCCAGCAGCCGCGGUAAUACGGAGGAUCCGAGCGUUAACCGGAUUUAUUGGGUUUAAAGGGAGCGUAGGUGGAUUGUUAAGUCAGUUGUGAAAGUUUGUGGCUCAACCGUAGAAUUGCAGUUGAGACUGGCAGGCUUGAGUACAGUAGAGGUGGGCGGAAUUCGAGGUGUAGCGGUGAAAUGCUUAGAUAUCUCGAAGAACUCCGAUUGCGAAGGCAGUUCACUGGACUACAACUGACGCUGAGGCUCGAAAGUGUGGGUAGCAAACAGGAUUAGAUACCCCUGUAGUC
rnacentral:rRNA from 1 species